GGAGAGGUACCCAAGUGGCCAAAGGGAGCAGACUGUAAAUCUGCCGGCAUCAGCCUUCGAAGGUUCGAGCCCUUCCCUCUCCA
rnacentral:tRNA from 1 species